UACGAAGGGUGCAAGCGUUAAUCGGAAUUACUGGGCGUAAAGGGUGCGUAGGCGGUUCGUUAAGUCUGUCGUGAAAUCCCCGGGCUCAACCUGGGAAUGGCGAUGGAUACUGGCAAGCUAGAGUGUGCCAGAGGAUGGUGGAAUUCCCGGUGUAGCGGUGAAAUGCGUAGAGAUCGGGAGGAACAUCAGUGGCGAAGGCGGCCAUCUGGGACAACACUGACGCUGAAGCACGAAAGCGUGGGGAGCAAACAGG
rnacentral:rRNA from 1 species